UACGUAGGGUGCAAGCGUUGUCCGGAAUUAUUGGGCGUAAAGAGCUCGUAGGCGGUUUGUCGCGUCUGCUGUGAAAUCCCGAGGCUCAACCUCGGGUCUGCAGUCGAUACGGGCGGACUGGAGUUCGGCAGGGGAGACUGGAAUUCCUGGUGUAGCGGUGAAAUGCGCAGAUAUCAGGAGGAACACCGGUGGCGAAGGCGGGUCUCUGGGCAAUAACUGACGCUGGAGGAGCGAAAGCGUGGGGAGCGAACAGG
rnacentral:rRNA from 1 species